rnacentral:rRNA from 1 species
UACAGAGGUCUCAAGCGUUGUUCGGAUUCAUUGGGCGUAAAGGGUGCGUAGGUGGCGCCGUAAGUCAGGUGUGAAAUUUCGGAGCUUAACUCCGAAACUGCAUUUGAUACUGCGGUGCUUGAGGACUGGAGAGGAGACUGGAAUUCACGGUGUAGCAGUGAAAUGCGUAGAUAUCGUGAGGAAGACCAGUGGCGAAGGCGGGUCUCUGGACAGUUCCUGACACUGAGGCAACGAAGGCCAGGGGAGCAAACGGG